AAACAUUUGGAUUUGAAUUUGAAAGGACAGCAGGCGCAGGCACUUAACUGAAACAUUUAAAGAUCUCUUCAAUUUAAGGUAAGAUUUGUCCCUUGUAUGAUCUAAAUUGAUAUUGUUUUCUGAUGACACCAUCUAUCUUUUCAUAUUUGUGCAACUCUUUCUAAAACAGAAAAUGUAUACAAUUCAAUGGAUUUCAAUCAACAAAGAGGUAUACAGACGAGGAGACAUACAAAGUUAUGCCAAUUGAUAUUGGUAUGUUAUGCAGAUCAGAUUUACCAUCCUCCUCCCUUCCCUCUUCAAUAAAUAUCCCAUAGGCCCAUAGGCCUCUACAUUAUGGACAAGACUUCAUCCUCCCUACACCUCUGAUGAAUGUAACAGGAAACCUGUUCAAUCAUGCACUGCAAAAUCGUUCUGACUAUGAAUACGGAGAACAUCAACACAUUAAAACAUCAACAGCCAGAGGAUAUACCCAUUAGACUUGGGGCUCUGCUGGGAGUUUACCUCAUGUUUGGAUUUUUGUAUUCUGCUU